GUGCUCAUUUAGGCAGUGCAUACACUUCAUCUGGAAAGAAACAGAGAUUGGCAUGGCUCCAGGGCAAGGAUGACACAAGGGUAAUUCUAUGUGUUU
rnacentral:snRNA from 1 species